rnacentral:rRNA from 1 species
UACGAAGGGGGCUAGCGUUGCUCGGAAUCACUGGGCGUAAAGGGUGCGUAGGCGGGUCUUUUAAGUCAGGGGUGAAAUCCUGGAGCUCAACUCCAGAACUGCCUUUGAUACUGAAGAUCUUGAGUUCGGGAGAGGUGAGUGGAACUGCGAGUGUAGAGGUGAAAAUUCGUAGAUAUUCGCAAGAACACCAGUGGCGAAGGCGGCUCACUGGCCCGAUACUGACGCUGAGGCACGAAAAGCGUGGGGGAGCAAACAGG